GACAGAGGGUGCAAACGUUGUUCGGAAUUACUGGGCGUAAAGCGUGUGUAGGCGGCUACGCAAGUCGGAUGUGAAAGCCCCGGGCUCAACCUGGGAAUUGCAUUUGAGACUGCGUAGCUAGGGUGCGGAAGAGGGAAGCGGAAUUUCCGGUGUAGCGGUGGAAUGCGUAGAUAUCGGAAGGAACACCAGUGGCGAAAGCGGCUUCCUGGUCCAGCACCGACAUUCAGGCACGAAAGCGUGGGGAGCAAACAGG
rnacentral:rRNA from 1 species